AACAACCAAAUUCAAAAAAUAAAUAAACUUGCAAUAUUAUAAAAAAAAGAAAACUUUCUAAUUUUUUAUCCGAGAAUAAUAGUUCUCGGUUAUCCCCACCAACACCUCCAUUUUCUAUAUAAAACUUUCUAAUAUUUUUCUUAUCCUCGGGAACAACCCAAUUUUCAUCCAAACGCUAUUUUUCUUAUCCCCAGACUUGUACCUAUCCCUGUAAUAGCUAGUUCUUGCUUAUACCCGAACCAAACGGUACCUUAUAUUCUACUUAAAGUAGGUAAGAUCAUUUAUUUCUAUAUAAUUUUUGAUAUUGGA
rnacentral:lncRNA from 1 species